rnacentral:misc_RNA from 1 species
UCUUCGCCAAUCUAGGCUAAGUGCUCACACGAAUUGUUUGAAUACGAUUAGUAAUGACUAAACGUCAUUGCUUGUUCUUUAAAAAUUAGGAUACGUGAUAUGAGUCGUUAACAUUUUGAAUGUUAACAAUCUCAAUUGCUGAUUCUCUAUUUAUUACGAUCAGACGUUAACUUUGUUAACUGAAGACUGUGUAAAUAUGAAGUUAUAAACCGGCGGUUAUUUGAUCGAUAAGCAUGAUCUCAAACACAUAAUCUUUUUGCAGUCUUACUUGUGAUUGUCGAAAGGGUUUGGGGUUAUAUGGUCAAGUGACUAAGCGUGCACGGUGGAUGCCUUGGC